UACAGAGGUCUCAAGCGUUGUUCGGAUUCAUUGGGCGUAAAGGGUGCGUAGGCGGCGCGGUAAGUCGGGUGUGAAAUCUCGGAGCUUAACUCCGAAACUGCAUUCGAUACUGCUGUGCUUGAGGACUGGAGAGGAGACUGGAAUUUACGGUGUAGCGGUGAAAUGCGUAGAUAUCGUAAGGAAGACCAGUGGCGAAGGCGGGUCUCUGGACAGUUCCUGACGCUGAGGCACGAAGGUCGGGGGAGCAAACGGG
rnacentral:rRNA from 1 species